GACUUCUGACGAAACUGCUAGCUGGCCCGCCUCGCAAGAGGUGAGUGCCGGCUUGGCGUUUGUCAUCCGUUCGAAUGAUAUGCGUGCUGCCCUUCACUGGGUUGGCGCUGCAUGUUUUCGAUCUUUUACUUUGUUUUGCUAUGAAUACAUGGAAUAAUAAUCUAGGACUUUCGGUUCUAUUUUGUUGGUGUUCUGGAGCUGAAGUAAUGAUUGAUAGGGAUAGUUGGGUGCUAGUAUUCAAUGGCCAGAGGUGAAAUUCUUGGAUUCCUUGAAGACUAACUUAUGCGAAAGCAUU
rnacentral:rRNA from 1 species